rnacentral:rRNA from 1 species
UAACACCUGGAAACAGAUGUCUAAUACCGGAUAACAACAGAUGAUGCCUAUCAACUGUUUAAAAGAUGGUUCUGCUAUCACUCUUGGAUGGACCUGCGGUGCAUUAGCUAGUUGGUAGGGUAACGGCCUACCAAGGCGAUGAUGCAUAGCCGAGUUGAGAGACUGAUCGGCCACAUUGGGACUGAGACACGGCCCAAACUCCUACGGGAGGCAGCAGUC